rnacentral:rRNA from 1 species
UGGGGAAUUUUGGACAAUGGGCGAAAGCCUGAUCCAGCAAUGCCGCGUGUGUGAAGAAGGCCUUCGGGUUGUAAAGCACUUUUGUCCGGAAAGAAAUCCUUGGCUCUAAUACAGUCGGGGGAUGACGGUACCGGAAGAAUAAGCACCGGCUAACUACGUGCCAGCAGCCGCGGUAAUACGUAGGGUGCAAGCGUUAAUCGGAAUUACUGGGCGUAAAGCGUGCGCAGGCGGUUUGCUAAGACCGAUGUGAAAUCCCCGGGCUCAACCUGGGAACUGCAUUGGUGACUGGCAGGCUAGAGUAUGGCAGAGGGGGGUAGAAUUCCACGUGUAGCAGUGAAAUGCGUAGAGAUGUGGAGGAAUACCGAUGGCGAAGGCAGCCCCCCUGGGCCAAUACUGACGCUCAUGCACGAAAGCGUGGGGAGCAAACAGGAUUAGAUACCCUGGUAGUCCACGCCCUAAACGAUGUCAACUAGUUGUUGGGGAUUCAUUUCCUUAGUAACGUAGCUAACGCGUGAAGUUGACCGCCUGGGGGAGUACGGUCGCAAGAUUAAAACUUAAAUGAAUUGACGGGGUCAUAGCUGUUUCCU